rnacentral:sRNA from 1 species
ACAAGACGGGAGCGCCGUACAGGGCCAUG